rnacentral:misc_RNA from 1 species
AACGCAUAUUGCGCCCUCUGGUAUUCCGGGGGGCACACCUGUUCGAGCGCCAUUUCAACCCUCAAGCAUAGCUUGGUGUUGGGCAUGGUCUAGUGACCUACCCGUAACUCGUAGGCGGCCGACACCCGCUCCCCUAGCGUAGCAGGCUUAAUGCACUCGCUCGGGGACGACGUUGCGGCUAUGCCAGUCAUAUACUCAAGGUUUGGCCUCGGAUCAGGUGGGGAUACCCGCUGAACUUAA